rnacentral:rRNA from 1 species
UAGGGAAUCUUCGGCAAUGGACGGAAGUCUGACCGAGCAACGCCGCGUGCGUGAAGAAGGCUUUCGGAUCGUAAAGCUCUGUUGUUAGAGAAGAACGUUGAUAGGAGUGGAAAAUCUACCAAGUGACGGUAACUAACCAGAAAGGGACGGCUAACUACGUGCCAGCAGCCGCGGUAAUACGUAGGUCCCGAGCGUUGUCCGGAUUUAUUGGGCGUAAAGCGAGCGCAGGCGGUUCUUUAAGUCUGAAGUUAAAGGCAGUGGCUUAACCAUUGUACGCUUUGGAAACUGGAGGACUUGAGUGCAGAAGGGGAGAGUGGAAGUCCAUGUGUAACGGUGAAAUGCGUAGAUAUAUGGAGGAACACCGGUGGCGAAAGCAGCUCUCUGGUCUGUAACUGACGCUGAGGCUCGAAAGCGUGGGGAGCAAACGGG